AGAAGUGUUUAAUGAAGAUGAAAUGCAUGGGUAUUAGUUUAAAUGGUUGAUUUGGGCAUGAAAAUGGAUGAAAAAUGAAGAAAAUGGAGGUGAAAAUGGAUGGGUAGCUCACGGUUUUGAGGGAAGGAGAGAACAUGUGCAGAAAGCUCACGAGAGAGGAAGAAGAUGAAUAGCACAAAAGCUCACGAAUCCGGCUUGCCGAAUUUCAUUACCGGCUAGCCGGUUAUAGGGCAGUAACUUGAAAAACCGAAAACGGUCUGCCGGAUUUGAGAUCCGGUUGACCGGAUAUGAACCCGAGAACAACAAGCAAGAAUUCGGCUUGCCGGUUUUGAUAACCGGUAGACCGGUUGUGAGGCAGUGAGUUCCCUUUCAAAUUCAGUUUUUCGGAUUGAAGAACUGGUUAUCCGGAAUUUGUCCCGAGAGAAAUCAAUAAGAAAAAAUAUUUUUCCGGAUGAAUGGAAAGGGAAUAUUUGCUUGCUCUUAUACUUGUAUUACACACACCAUUUUAUUU
rnacentral:lncRNA from 1 species